rnacentral:lncRNA from 1 species
UUUGGUUACAGUGUGUUUCUUUGCCUCUCCCUAAGAAGGGAUAGAGGUAAUCCUUUCCCCCCUACAAUGCUCAUCACAUCCUUAAGAUGUGGGUCUCCCCCCCUCAGAUCCCUGUUGAACACUACAAUUAUUUGAACACCAUAGUUUUAGGCUGUCAGUGUAGCCCAUUUUCCAGGUCUUGUGUCGUCUCGAUUUGUAUUACAGGCUUAAGCUUAAUCCACGAUAGCAUAAACGGUGCUAGUUCACUAUCGUUUCUUAGGAUUGAGUAAUUCCAUUGUGAGUAUAUACCACAUUUUAGUUAUCCACUCAUGAAUUGACGGGCACUUGGGUAGUUUCCAUGUCCGUGCAAUAGUGAAUUGUGCUGCUAUAAACAUUCGGGUGCAGAUGUCUUUAUAAUAGAGUGACUUAUGUUCUUUUGGAUAGAUGCCCAACAAUGCUAUUGCUGGGUCAAAUGUAAUUACCCCAGACUUUUAUGGAAAUCUGAUACACAACCAUGUGUUGCCUCAUGUCAAGUGAAGCAGAGAAGGAAGAGACAGCACAGGAAAGGGAAGAACUCCCUGCCCGAUUCCCUUCCUGCUGGGCCCCUUGGAGAAGCAGUGGCACCCUAUCCUCUCUGGAGAGUCUCUGUCCAGCGUGCCAGGCACCGGCCAGCUGCAAACGAGGUCGUGAUCUGCUCCAAGCAGAGCACUAGGAGCACUUCCCAGGGGAGAACUCAGGAGGAAGGCUUUUGGGUACUUCUCUGUGAACCUGUCAGUGCUGGUGGGGAUGUCCAGCAUCAGGACUUCCGUGUGAGUUGAGGGCGAGGUCAGCAGUCAGGAAGGAGCGACAGAGGCUGAGAAGCACAGUGAGAGGUAAGGCGAGGGCCUCAGCCCGAAGUCUGGGCACAGCUGGAGGAGGGCACAGGCCUGUUUGUGUGUGGUAUGGAAGUGGGCUUGACCCUUAAAUGUGCCAGCCUAUGCCGGUGGUAAAACAAUGGCUCCUUCUCAUUUGGAUUUAUAGAUGAGACAGUUCAGUAUGAUAGCGCCUUGGAAUCAAAACCUGGGAUGGUAUUGAUGACUUUUCCCUCCAUGACAGCAGUUGUUCUAUGAAGGUCUGUCUCACUGGGAAAAAAGAAAAAAAAACCAACAUACUUUGCCUGGGCAAGAGUCCUAAAGAUGGAUUCCGAGCUGGCAGUAUUCUUCUUUUCAGGUAGGUAGGUGGAUGAUGUCAGAGACACAGAGCUGACAUCCUCCUUCCUCCCCCUCCCUGCCUCCCUUCCUUCCUUAGUUUUAGAUCUUGUAUAUUUUCAGCAACCAAGCUUCUAAAUUUAGGAACUCAGUAGUAAAAUUUGGCUUCUUUGGCCUUGUAUCUGAGGAGCACUUCUCACAGGCACACCUGGAGCCUUAAUGGCUUAUCAAUGAAUGAAAAUAAAUAAAUGGAUUAAACUGACAUCAGAGGUCGAAGUUCAGCAAAAGAACCAAGUUUUUCAUAGUUUGCUCCAAGCACAACAUUGAAAUGACCUCAUUUCAGGGUGUUGGUUUAGUGCUUUUGCUUUUUAAAUGAAGGCUUCACGCCGUUCCAUUAGGUGAGUCAGGCUGCAUUACCUGUGUGCCGCUUUCUGGCUGCUGGGAGGGGAACAGGGGGCGUGUUGGAAGUCAGGGAACAUCCCUGACAGUUAAACUGGAAUCAAUACCCAUUUCUUCUUGGGACCCAAGUGUAUGGUUUAAUUUCUAGGCAUGGGGAGAUCCCGGGCAUUCCAAUUAACAACUCAUUUUUUUUUUUUUCCAUACUGAGUGUAAUAAACUAAACACUGCAAACUUGAAAGAGAUUGAGAGAAAAAAGAAAAAUCAUGAGAGAAAUAAAAUGCAAAGAGGCAGAAAUCCUGUUGCCCUAAGGCUAGUUAGGUGCUUUUAUUCAACACAACAUGGAUAAAGUAACCAUGAUAUCAGAAAACUUUUAGAGAGGCAUGGGGAGUCGGAGAGGGUGAUGGAAAACAGGAAGGAGGCGGGAGCCGGGGCUGCAGACACAAGUCUCCAGAGCUCUGCCUAAGUGGGCCAGCAUCCUUCCCUGGGGAAGCUGAGAGGAGGGACUCGCACGCUUACGGGGGCCUAUUUGAAGACCAAUAAUUCUUAUUUAUUGAUACCCACCAAAUCCCAGUGACUUUACCUGCAAUCCUGGCAUUUCUGCAAGAUGGGUAUCAUUUUCCUUACUUUGUAAGGGUAGACAUGGAGGCUCAGACAGGUUAUGAGAGGUUACUUGCCCACUUAAUGGUUAACAUUCAUUGAAUAUCUGUUAUGCACCAGGCCAUGUUCUAAGCACUUUAUGUGUGUUCACUUAUUUAAUCCUCAUGAUAUACUUAUAAUUCAGUCUACUCGUUUUCUGCUCAUUAUACAAAUGAGGAAACUGAGGCACCAAGUGUUGAAAGGGCUCAUCCAAAGUCACUCAAUUAGUAAAGCGGAGGGCCAGGAUUGCAAUUGAAUCUGUCGGGCUCCCCGACCUCUUUUGUUUUUCCUACUUCACCGGUGGUAGCUCAAAAAGCUGAGAACUAUCAGAGGCAUCCCUGAGUCCAGAAAACAACAUAAUAUUUUCAUUAAUUUAUUUUCUGGGACACUUUUAUAUUUAUUCCUACUUUUUUAGGGGCAGCAUAUGCUCUGAUUGCUUCUUUACAUGACAAUGGUUUUGUAAUAUCAAUUUCUAUAGUGAC